rnacentral:tRNA from 2 species
GGCACAUUAGUUUAGUGGUAAAACAUCAGUCUCAUAAGCUGAAAUCGUGAGUUCGAUUCUCACAUGUGCCUC